rnacentral:tRNA from 1 species
AACCAAAUGACAGAAAAAUGUAACGAAUUUAAGUUUCGUAGAUAUUAUAAUUACAUUCAUCUUUUACUUA